rnacentral:rRNA from 1 species
CGCGUAGGUGGCCCGGUCAGUCAGUGGUGAAAGCGCGGGGCUCAACUCCGCGUCGGCCAUUGAUACUGCUGGGCUUGAGCACUGUAGAGGCAGGCGGAAUUCCGGGUGUAGCGGUGGAAUGCGUAGAGAUCCGGAAGAACACCGGUGGCGAAGGCGGCCUGCUGGGCAGUAGCUGACACUGAGGCGCGACAGCGUGGGGAGCAAACA